CUCGGGUUAGUACACUCGGGUUACUACACUCGGGUUACUACACUCGGGUUAGUACACUCGGGUUAGUACACUCGGAUUACUACACUCGGAUUACUACACUCGGAUUACUACACUCGGAUUACUACACCGGGUUACUACACUCGGGUUACUACACUCGGAUUACUACACUCGGAUUACUACACUCAGGUUAGUACACUCAGAUUACUACACUCAGAUUACUACACUCAGAUUAAUACACUCAGAUUACUACACUCGGGUUACUACACUCAGAUUACUACACUCAGAUUACUACACUCAGAUUCUACACUCGGGUUACUACACUCGGGUUAGUUCACUCGGGUUAGUUCACUCGGGUUAGUACACUCAGAUUACUACACUUUGUGAAUUAAAGCUGUAUUGACUUGUCUUAGUGCUAAACAAUAUACAUCUGUAACUGGUAUGCUACAAAUGAUCAAUAAUAAUCAUCUGAUUCAAAACAAAUGGCACCAAAAUGGCAUUGGAUUUCUUAUUAAUGUACAUAAAUCCUGCAUG
ensembl:lncRNA